GACGAACGCUGGCGGCGUGCCUAAUACAUGCAAGUCGAGCGGACGAAUCGAAAGCUUGCUUUUGAUUCGUUAGCGGCGGACGGGUGAGUAACACGUGGGCAACCUGCCCUGUAGACGGGGAUAACACCGAGAAAUCGGUGCUAAUACCGGAUAACACGAAAUGUCGCAUGACGUUUCGUUGAAAGACGGCGCAAGCUGUCGCUACAGGAUGGGCCCGCGGCGCAUUAGCUAGUUGGUGAGGUAACGGCUCACCAAGGCGACGAUGCGUAGCCGACCUGAGAGGGUGAUCGGCCACACUGGGACUGAGACACGGCCCAGACUCCUACGGGAGGCAGCAGUAGGGAAUCUUCCGCAAUGGACGAAAGUCUGACGGAGCAACGCCGCGUGAGCGAAGAAGGCCUUCGGGUCGUAAAGCUCUGUUGUUAGGGAAGAACAAGUAACGCAGUAACUGGCGUUACCGUGACGGUACCUAACGAGAAAGCCACGGCUAACUACGUGCCAGCCGCCGCCGUAA
rnacentral:rRNA from 1 species